rnacentral:lncRNA from 1 species
CAACCUGAAGAGCACUGUGCUGGAGCUCUUAGGCCUAAAUAUCAUUCCUAUCAUCAACACGAAUGACACUGUCGUUCCACCUGACAUUAAUAAAGACUUGUCUAGAGUUGCACGUGAACUAAGCCUGAAACCCGGAGAAAGGGUUAUCACUGUCAAAGACAAUGACAGUCUCGCUGCUCACUUGGCAGUGGAAUCGAGUGCUGAUGUUCUGAUCCUCAUGUCAAAUGUUGAUGGCAUCUUUAAUCUGCCUCCAGGCGAAGAUGGAGCUCGCCUACUCCACACUUACUGCCCUAAAGCUAUAGGUGACAUAGUAUAUGGCGAAAAGUCUGGAGUAGGCUUAGGCGGGAUGGAAUCAAAGGCAAGCCUAGAAUAUUUGUAUAGAGAGAGAUGUG